AUGUGGUUUGCAUAUUUUAAUGUGCUCCAAAUUAAUAAAAGCUUAUAUGCUGCUUCAGAAAAUGUUUGCAAAGUUCAAGACAAUCUUACCUCAGACAUCCUGCAGGGGAAAGGAGAUUCCAAAUCAACUCAUAUGUAGCUUUCCACGUCCUGCGUAGGAUCCUUGAAGUAAACAAACUACUAAAAAUGGCAACAAAGAUCAAUAACCUGCUGAAACAUUUAUGCAGUUACGCUGGAUCAAGGCGGCCUGGAUUGACUCUGUGCACAGUACCUGAGCCUUCUGUCCUCGCUUUUUUCAGGAGCUCUACAAGAAAAAUAACAGCCAACUAAGCAGGGCCCAGAGGGGCUUGCUGAGACUGACGCAUCAACCAAGGACCACGCAGGAACUGGACCUAGACCCCUACAAAGAUGUAGCAGAUGGGCAGCUUAGGUUUCAUGUGGGUCCUCUAGUAAGGGAAGUAGGGUGUGCACUGGACAUGGACUCACUUGCUAGCUUUUGGAUCACUUUCCCCUAGCGGCUCUGCCUUGACAGGCUACAGGGGAAGAGGACAUCUUCAGCAUUGAUACAACUUGAUGAACUGGGGUGGAUAGGAAAGGAAGCUCCCUUUUGCUGAGUAAAAGGAGAGGGAGAGAGAAUGGAACUGGAUGGGAAGGAGAGAAGGGACUAUAGGAUGUAAAGUGAAUAAAAUAAAUGAGAAAACAAAACAACAAGAGAAGUCUGUGAAAUACAGAAAGUCUCAGGAAGUGGCUAUAGUAUGCAAAUCUCUUACUUAGUCCUACAGCCUUUUCUUAUUUGCAGUUGUUUGCUUCAAAGCAGUAUCCACUUCUGGAUCCCAACCUGCCAGGUACAGUAGGGGCAAAGGUUA